CCUACGGGUGGCAGCAGUGGGGAAUAUUGCACAAUGGGGGAAACCCUGAUGCAGCAACGCCGCGUGAGUGAAGAAGUAUUUCGGUAUGUAAAGCUCUAUCAGCAGGGAAGAAGAUGACGGUACCUGAAUAAGAAGCCCCGGCUAACUACGUGCAAGCAGCCGCGGGAAUACGUAGGGGGCAAGCGUUAUCCGGAUUUACUGGGUGGAAAGGGAGCGGAGACGGGAGUGCAAGUCUGGGGUGAAAGCCCGGGGCCUAACCCCGGAACUGCUCUGGAAACUGUGCGGCUAGAGUACUUGAGGGGCAGGGGGAAUUCCUGGUGUAGCGGUGAAAUGCGUAGAUAUUAGGAGGAACACCAGUGGCGAAGGCGGCCUGCUGGACAGUAACUGACGUUGAGGCGCGAAAGCGUGGGGAGCAAACAGGAUUAGAUACCCCUGUAGUC
rnacentral:rRNA from 1 species